UGAGGUUUUAGCUUAAUUAAAGUGUCUGAGUUGCAUUCAGGAGAUGUGUAUUAGGUUGCACAGACCUU
rnacentral:tRNA from 1 species